GGUAGAAAGAGCAAACAUCUGAAUGUUCACACCACUUCCUGGUUCCUUGUCGAUCCUUCACAAGGAAAUGAGUUUUUAAUUUAUUUAUUCUUUGCCUUGAGAGUACAGAUUCACCUUGAAGGAGUCCUGCUUCAAAACCGGCAAGAUUCGUGAGCUUAGGACGGAGCACUAGCACCGUGGAAUCAGCAUUCGCAGGACCUGGAAGAGAGUUAAAGAGAAUGCUUACUAACUGUGCAACCUAGUCCGGACCCAACACACAGAAGACUCUGACCAGCCUCGCGGGCUCCGUCCUGGCUCCUCUCAGGACGGGAAUGUUUCUGGCGAAAACACCAUUAGUAUGCCAUGGAGCUGCCAUUCACCAACCUGGAGGUGGCGUUCAUUUUACUGGCUUUCUUCAUCUUUUCCUUGUUUACUCUGGCUUCCAUCUACACCAGCCCUAAUGAGAGGAAUGAAGAAGAUGACCUCCACCUAAACGAAAAGAGAAGGAAAAGAAAACAGUUUAAAGGGAAGAAAAAUUGCUCAGAUGAAGAACACAGAAUUGAAACAAUGUAACUAUGACCUCAGCCACCUGUGAGUGCACAAAGGCUCCCCUAAAAAUGCCUGCUGGGAUUGCUUGCAAGACCAAGGACAUUAAAACAGCCUUCAGAUCAUAAUCGCUAGGACUCAACACAGGGAACGGGACUUUAUACUCUCUUUUUGACAUCCUUGUUUAUAAUGCCAAUUAUGAGCACUAGCUGUAAUGAAAAGGAAUACAGUUAAAGUAAGAUCUUUCAAGAAAGAGAAAAUACAUAUGUAUUAUAAUCUAGUUAGAGAAAACAAGAGUACGUGCCUAACAUGCUUAAGGCUCUGCAUUUGAUUCCCAGCUCUUACAAAAAAAUAAAUAAAUAGGGUGCUUGUGAGAUGGCUCAGUGGUUAAGAGCACUGGCUGUUCCUCCAGAGGUCCUGAGUUCAAUUCCUAACAACUACAUGGUGGCUCAGAACCAUCUAUAAAGGGAUCUGAUGCCCUCUUCUGGCAUGCAACUCUACACACAGAGCACUCACACAUUAAAAUUAAUGAAUAAAUGAAAGAAAGAAUGAAUGAAUGUACAAUGACUUCUAAAAAUUAUGUACAUAUGUAUGUAUCCAAAUGUAAAUAUGUUCACAUGAGUGCAGAUGCCCAGGAAGGCCAGAGGAGGGCAUCAGACCCCCAGAGCCAGAGCUACAGGAGGCUGAGUCACCAGGAUGUUGACAACUGAACUCAGGUCCUCUGCAACAGCAAACUCCCUUAACUACUGAGCCACUUCUCCAGCUCCAAGAACAAUGCAUUUUAACUGUUCUUCAUUCACCUGGGAAUGCACAGUGUGACUUAGAAGCUACAAUUCUUCUGUUGUAAAACUACAAUUAACCAUGCCGCUGCUGCUUCUAUAAUAAGGACUUAAUUAUAGGAAUUAAUUAGGACUUCUGAAAUAAAUACUAAAGACAAAA
rnacentral:lncRNA from 1 species